GACGUAGGGGGCAAGCGUUGUCCGGAUUUAUUGGGCGUAAAGAGCUCGUAGGCGGCUCAGAAAGUCGGGUGUGAAACCUCCAGGCUCAACCUGGAGACGCCACCUGAUACUGCUGUGGCUAGAGUCCGGUAGGGGAACACGGAAUUCCCGGUGUAGCGGUGAAAUGCUUAGAUAUCGGGAGGAACACCAGUGGCGAAGGCGGUGUUCUGGGCCGGAACUGACGCUGAGGAGCGAAAGCGUGGGUAGCAAACAGGA
rnacentral:rRNA from 1 species